rnacentral:rRNA from 1 species
UACGUAGGGUGCGAGCGUUAAUCGGAAUUACUGGGCGUAAAGCGUGCGCAGGCGGCGCGUUAAGACAGGUGUGAAAGCCCCGAGCUUAACUUGGGAAUUGCGCUUGUGACUGGCGGGCUGGAGUGUGGCAGAGGGAGGUGGAAUUCCACGUGUAGCAGUGAAAUGCGUAGAGAUUGGGAAGAACAUCCGUGGCGAAAGCGCUCUGCUGGACUGCAACUGACAUUGAGGGACGAAAGCUAGGGGAGCGAAUGGG